UUCGGUUUCUUGUUCUAGCUAGAAGUUAGCCUAUUCAGAGCCAAAAUUCAGGUCCCUCAAAUCACCGAGUCACGUGGGUGGUCCCUUUAAAGUCCUGCUGAGUGCGGCCGCGCGCGCCGUCACAUGACGAGCAUGACAUAACGAAGCAGCAAACCGGAGACAGCCAAAGCGCGCCCAUGGCUACCGCGCACGAGCCCGUCCAGACGUCCCGGUGUGUCUCAGUGGAGUUGGAGCUUUUAACUGGUUAGUUUGAGCAUUGCAGCUGCUGCGGUACACACCGGACGUGAUGGUGGACUGCACCUGCCGCACAAACAAGACUUUCUUCUUCUUCUUCUUCUUUUAGACGAAGGUGUGUGUACAGGACACGUGAGGACUACGUGCUGAAAUACCGGCGUCAUCAGUGCAGAAGGGAACGCGGAACCGACACGCGCGCUCUGCUCAAGUAGGAUUACAGACUGCGCACGAGACGGACCGAAAACCUGAUCGCGGAUCCCUGCGUAAGAUUGUUACGCAUUUCUUUACGAUAUUGGACUGCUGUUUUGAAAACGACACCGGAAUGUUUUUAUUUUGUGUUUGUUAUUCAUUCAGCGCAAAAAAAAACGCAGUUCUUAUGAACUGUGAAUGAAUCUUAUUUUGUUGUUGUUGAUGAUGGUGUUGUUGUUGUUGAUGAUGAUGGUGAUGAUGUUGCUUUUGUUGUUGGAAACCUGAACAUUUCUCUUUAAAAUGCAUCUUUCGAGUCUUCUUCAUUGUGAAGGAGCCCUUAUUCUAAUCAGUAUUAAUAAAGUUGUCAUGAGUGCAGCUUGUCGGUAUCUGUUCAGGCAUGUUUCAAAGUGCUUCAUAAAACUUGUCAAAGGUUUGCGUCUCAUGUGACUUGACUACGUGGUCUUGCUAUUUGCCCAUCUAUAAAUCACAUAAUUAUGAAUGUGAAUUAAUGUGUGUAGUUGAUGGUGGACAUGACACGGUGUGAGGAGGCGAUGUGAAAAGGCGACCUGCACAGACUUUUUUAUAUCAUUUGAAGGCUUUUUAAUAUUAAAGGUGUGACGCCACCGCCUUUCUACACCUGAAGACUAGAUUAAGAGCGCGCGCUGCUGUCUGUGGCGACGAGCACGCGCGCAACACGUAGGUCGGGUGCGGCGCGCGCGUUGGAAACAGAGAGAGAGAGAGAGAGAGAGAGAGAGAGUAAACAGCACAGUAGUGCGUUUAAAUCUGCAUACCAUACCAUAUCAGUGGUCUAUAGCAAACUAGUUCUCCUCUGCUUGGUUCUCUUCCUGAGCUGUUGACAUAUUGGAGUCAAUAUGUCAAAAGGGUUCAGCUGGAGGAGUGCACCUUUGGUUUAUGGGAGGACAGGACACCAAGUUUGAUCAUCGCUAUUGUGCAUAUCUGCCGAUUUGCACAACCCACAGUGAGUCUGCUAGUUACUGCAAGUAUAACAAUAUCAGAUCAAUAUCAGGUGUCGGUGAUACACAGAGCUUGGAUAUCUGAUUCUGCUGAAAUCGGUGCGUCAGUGUCAGUCUGUUAGGUUAAAGACUUUGUAUUUGAUCCUUUCCAAAAAUGAUACAAAAGGAGUUUUGGUCAUUUUGAUGCAGAAGCUGACAUGCUAGUCAUUCGGUAAAUGCAGUUGUAGUAUUUGGUUAAAUUAAUGCCUUAUGAAAGAAACAGAUCUAAAAUAUUAAAUCUUGUUUUAGACACAUUUCUUAGAUAUGUCCUAGAUAUCAGUGAUUACGUUUACAUGCACAUCAAUAUCCCGAUUAUUACUGAGUCGUAAACGGCACAAUCUGAAUGCCCGAUUCAGAUUGAGACAAUAUUCUGAUUAUUACUGAGUUGUAAUGAUUGCCCGAUUCAGAUUGAGACAAUAUUCUGAUUCCUCAAAUUCUGAUUCACACCCAUGGAAUAUGCCUGUUUUAAUCGGACAUUUGUUGCAUGUAAACACCAUAUUCAGAAAAUCCAUUGAAAGGAGAUAUAUGCGCAUGCUCAGUCCACAAGGAAUUGUGGGAGCUAACAGGUGCUUAGCUGUAAGCUAGGUAUUUAGGAAUGGCAACUCAGGCAUACUUACGACAACCAUGUAUGCAGGAAUAUUACGAUACCUGUACGCAUAUAAACAUCGUAUUUGGAAUAUGACUGCAACCCAAAUAUUGACCUUAAACAGAGUUUGAGGUGCAUGUAAACGUAGUCAGUGUUAGUUAGUCCAUUUAAAAGCUAAAACAUUUCAAUGUUAAUUGAACAGUGUUGUUCCUAUAUUGUUCUUCAUGGAUAUGAAUGAAACUAGAUAUGAAUGAGUCUAUUCGUAAAUCGUUUGCAGGAGAAUUUACACAAGAAAUUGGUAAGUCAUGAAAAUUUGUUACUCAUACAAAUGUAUGUCAGUAAUAUUGCUGCCAAUUUGAUUGACAUGGACCCCCCCCCCCCCCCCCCCCACUAACCUGUAAUGGGGCAUGAAAUAAAACAGACACACCAAUGUACUGGCUGGUCGAUAAGAUUGUCUGAAAUGAAAGUAUUAUCAGAUUAUUGUUAUCUGUGAAAAUGUCAGUGUGAAUAAAACAACAGUAGCGCCUCUUUAAAUGUUCUCUAGGACCCCCGGCAUACAGCAACAAAGAAAACUGGAAUCUGAUUUCAUCUGGCCUAUUUGCUGAACUUUGUGUUACUAAUUGAAUUUAACUUAACAGUUGAAUUAAUGUGUUUUUAUGCUAUACGUUUGUGAGCAUGAGUACAGCUAAAAGGUCUCAUUUACUAACAAACAUCACUGCAAAACAAUUUCGUGCAAUUGUAAUUCUGCCAGUUCAGGUAGUUCUUUGCAAAAAAAAAAAAAAAAAAAAAAAUUGUGCAAAAGGCACCGCACAUUUAAAAAAACAAAAACAAAAGCUGCGGCAAAAUCAAGCCAUUUCGGCCGCAACAAU